CAAUAAAAAAUACUGCGACUCAAUACAAAAUCCCCCAAAAUCCGGGUGUCACUAAGUACAUGAGCUAUUAAAUAUCAACAUAGGCAAAAUUUCUAAUACAACUAUUUGGAAAGAUAGAACAAUGCUAAAUAAACUGAAAAAGAAGAGUCGAGGUCUACGGACGCCAAAGCAGCUACCUCAAAAGUCUCUAAGCAGGGAAAUGCUCCAAGUCUAGCAACCACCGUGCCUAGAAGUACCUGGAUCUGCACACGAAGUGCGGAGUGUAAUAUGAGUAUAACCGACAUAAUGUACUCAAUAAGUAACAAGAUUAACCUUGGGCUGAAAGCAGUGACGAGCUCAGAUAGGUACAAUCCAAACCAGAUAAUAACAGUAUGAAUAUGACAGCAAAACGAUGGUAAUAACUCAGAGAAAAUCUUAUAAUCAGUAGUACGCAGUACAGAAAAGUAGACUUGCUUUCAAGUUUGACAGCUUAGGCUCAAUACUGGUAAAUAUGCCAAGUAUAGCUAACAUGAGGAAUAUUACAUCUCUAUGUCUACAUGUCAAAUAUACAUGUCAUCUGUAAUGCAACACAGUGAUAAACUCAUAUACUCAUGCUCUCGGAGUAUUCAAUCUCAUUCAACACACUCAAUCACUCAGUAUUCAAACUUCAUACAAGGUUGUCCAGAUAAAGCCAACUAGUUUUGGAGGUAGUUUGGUUUCCCGUAUAAGCUUCCAUGCCAUUUGUCAAUCAGUUCCUUGUUAGAACAUAGAUUGUCAUAUCCCCUUUUAACAGUAUAUGUUCUAUAUUUUGAUUCUCCCUAUUUCAACCUAUCCGGAGUUGACAUUAACACCUGAUAAUUUUGUAAGCAAUCCCAGCACACAGUGGCGGAGCCACCUUAUAGCAAGAGGUUUCAACAGACACCUCUUCACAGAAAAAAUAUACUGUAUAGAUAGGUAAUUUUUUUAUUUUAUAUAUGCAUAUAUACUAUUUGUUGACUCCCAUUGGUAUAGUUACUUUUAAAUAUUUUGACACCCCUUACUGAAAAUAUUGGCUCCGCCAUUGCCAGCAUUUCAUUCAUCGUCCUGGAUACCCCUUGAACUGUGGGGUCCAAGUUUUGUCUGGCCAGAAGAAAUAGUGGACUCCUGAUCACUAGCAAGUAGAAAAAGAGAUAGGCAUUCAUCUUUCAAAAUCUCUGCUCUAACCACUUCUUAGAAAGAAAUAUGAGCUCCAUUCCCGAGCUUGAGUGAUGAUUUAAGCUGGAACUCACCCCAUAGCUUUGAGAUGUGUUUCUAGGGACAACCAUGAGGAGCUCUACCCUGUCUAGUGCACCAGUUGUUUGUCACCCCAUACUUAGUGCACCAGUUGUUUGUCACCCCAUACUUUGCUUGUAUUACAACUUUUAUAGCUCAUGACUUUCCAUGUUGUAUCUUCAAUGCCAUUUCAUUAUCAAACUCUUGCUUGUAUUGAUGCUACUGUUGUUUUUAUUUUAUUUUUUAAAAUUUGAUAGUCAUUAGUAAAUCAGAACAAUUUUUAGUUGUGGGAAGGACAUGAGAGAGCGACUCAUAUUUCACCUCUAAAGUAUUAAGUAAUACAUGUACCAAAAUGAUUUCCUAUUGCUGGUCGAGAUUCAAACAAACUAAUUUUGGCGAAGAUUUUCAAAUAUAUCCUUUAAUAAUUUCGAAAAUGAAAAAGUUUAACUCAUAAUUUUCUUAUUUUUAUUUUUUUAAAAUUUGUAAAUUGUAUAUAUUCCAAAAAAUAAAUUUACCUAAAUCUGAGUUUUAGCACUGAAAGUUGGUCAAAUUGACUUCUACUGAUCAAUUAGGAAUGGGGGAGUAUGUGAUUCAAUUUUUUUCAAAAGAGUUCAAUUUGGUCCUAGAAUAGCUAUUAAGUGAUUCAACUUGUGGUAGAAGAAUACGCGAAAAUCAAACUUCGCAAAUACACAAUGCUUUCUGCAAGUGCAGAGGAGAAUUGCCUUGGUUGGGCAGCAAGAGAUCCAUCUGGAUUUCUUUCAUCUUACAAAUUCAGCCGGAUGUACCUUUCGCUGACUGUUCGAUUUCUCCACUUUGGAUUACAUGAUCAUUUACUAACUUUAAAUGGUUGAACUGUUGAUUUGAUCUAGUUCUUGAGUUUUUUUAAGUAGCAGUGCUGUUUGUCUUCUGCAAAAAAUUUCUUUUACUUGCCACAGGGCAGUUGGCAAUGAUGAUGUUCUGCUAGAUAUUGUAUUUUGUGGAAUAUAUUGUCUGGACCAGGAAUAAACUUGGACAUUCAAAAUAUCUUCUAGUGCCAGAGGGAAGCUUAAUUUCAGAAAUCAUUUGUUGUCAUGGUACAUUUUUUUCUCAUUUACUUAUGUUGUGACAUUUUCCGCUUAGAUUGGCAUUUAGUUAUUGUCCUUAUAUUUAUAUUGUGUUAUUAAUUAUUUUCAUGAUUGUCAGACAUGAAAUUGUCAGAACUGUGAGAGAUCUUGGCACCAAUGUUAAGCACUUUAAAGUUGGCGACCAUGUUAACUUUAUUCGCCAAGCGAAUGAUCUUCGCUUCAUGGGAACAACAAAAACCACCAUUUCGCUCUUGGAGUUGGAACGUAUGUUAAUUCAUGAAUAUUGUAAUGAUGGAUUAGAGGUUCAUUGCUCGAGAGGAACAAAGCAGACACAAGAAAUGCUGGAUUUCUUCAAGCCUCUAAGAGUACAUAAAAUCAUAAAGGUCGGGAUAGGGCCUCGCUAUACCAAUCAAUAUAUAUCCAAAGCAUACUGACCAAAUAGGUAACUCCGGAGCAAGUGGAGUGCACCAACACCUCCGCUGAGCUGAUAGCCUACUCGGAGGAAUGUCAACCUAUCAAUUGGGAUCUGUGGGCAUGAAACGCAGCGUUCCCAGGUAAAAGGGACGUCAGUACAAAUAAAGUACCGAGUAUGUAAGGCAGGAAAGCAUAAACAAGAAUAGUAAUAUAAAGAGAGAUAAAGGAUAUACAACCUGUAACAUCUGAGUGCCUCUGGGGGAUACUGACAUGAAAUGCAUAAUACAUAUAUAUACAUAAACUUGUAAAAACAUAAGCCUCUCUGGGCAUCAUCAUCAUCAUAUCGUACCCGGCCUUAAAGAGGACUUAGUAAAAAUGUACCCGACCAUUAUAAGGCUCAGUAGAAUCGUACCCGGCCACGUGGAGCUCGGUAAACCCAACUGAUCAGUGGUUGCAUAAUAAGUGUCGUACCCGGCCUACUAUAGCGCGGCUCGGUAGAGUAAAAUAGAUGCUAUAUAUAAUACAUGCUAGACUCAUGGAAUCACGUUCUAAACCUUUUGGAGUGACAUAAGGUCGUUGCACCUUCAAUUAACAUAUGGACAUCAUACCAUCAAUAUGAGCUUCUAUAGGAUUCAAGGAUCAUACAUACUUGCUUAAAAUAACUUUAUAAGGAAAGAACAACAUGGGCAACCUUAGUUUAUAGGAGUAGAUCCGUUAGAAAAUAGCGUAUUCAUUCACUUUAGAUCAUGCCAAAAGAAAGAGGGAAGUGCCUUAACAUACCUUAACCAUGGUAAGUCCUUAAUACCUCCCAAGCUACUCUUCAAACAACUUAACUCAAUCUACCAUUGCAUAAGGAGAUUCAAAAUCAGUGUUGAAUAAAGGCCAAGUCUGCAACUUAAACUUGUAGCUCGUUUAUAUAAAUUCGGGAAGCAUCUCCCCUGUAACAAGAGUCUCCUCCAAUAUCAUAUACCAACAACAAUUACCAGAAAAAUCCAGCAAUACAUUAUUAUCAAUAACAAGACACCAUAAAACAACAACAAGUCAUAACUAUUUUAGGACGAGCGACAAGCUCCAAUUGGAAUUCGUAUACCCCAUAUCAUCCCUUAUAAACUUUUUACUUUAACUUAAUAGUAUCAUUAACAUGAUAAUGAAGUCAUUCAUCAAUAAUUCCAGCCUUAUACCAUAUAUCCAUAACAAAUAAAAUGAUGCACAACUCCAAUUAUUCUUAAUUAGCAACUUUAUUCACUAGUUCAUGUCUAGUUCAUCCAUUUAACUUAACCAAUGCCAAGAUAACCUUAAGAACCUGUAGGAACACAAUAUAAUUACCUCAUACAGUAGAUGCAAGUCGAAAUCCAUAUUAUAUUUAGCUUACAACAGACCAAUACACCCCAAUCAAUUCAUAUCCAAAACGACGACUAUAGUAGUGUCAAACAUAAUGACUAAUCCAUGAUUUUGCCAUUAUGUGGUAUUUAUCCACACCAUUUAUCCUCCAAAAACUCUAUUUAACAGCAACAAAAUAGACAUCCCAAAAGCUACACGAAACAUCCCAAAAACAGUCCAUUACAAGUCAAAUAACUCAAACUUACAGCUUCCGAUCACCAUCCCGUGAGUUCUAACUAUUAUGAAAUUAAUUAAUCAACCUUCCUUGAUAUUUAAUAUCUUAAAACCAGAAAUUAGGCAUUAUUAUUAACUUCAAAAUACCUUCUAAACUCAAACUAUAAAGAAAAAAAAGUAAUAUAGCGAUACUUACGUCGUGGGGAUCGUUCUAGUGUUAUUGCUUUGUGAUUUCGUGCCUCGGACGAUAAUCUUGUUGGAUAACCUUGUGGACAGCUUAAGGGUGAGGUUAGGGGUUUUAUUUGGUCGAGCUCUCUGGAAUUAUGAAGAAAGAGACGACAUAGGAAGAUAAAUAUCCAUUUUGGUUGAAAAGUCAAAAGGUGCU
rnacentral:lncRNA from 1 species